rnacentral:rRNA from 1 species
UGGGGAAUAUUGCACAAUGGGGGAAACCCUGAUGCAGCGACGCCGCGUGAACGAAGAAGGUAUUCGUAUCGUAAAGUUCUGUCCUAUGGGAAGAUAAUGACAGUACCAUAGAAGAAAGCUCCGGCUAAAUACGUGCCAGCAGCCGCGGUAAUACGUAUGGAGCGAGCGUUGUCCGGAAUUAUUGGGCGUAAAGGGUACGCAGGCGGUUUAAUAAGUCGAAUGUUAAAGAUCGGGGCUCAACCCCGCAAAGCAUUGGAAACUGAUAAACUUGAGUAGUGGAGAGGAAAGUGGAAUUCCUAGUGUAGUGGUGAAAUACGUAGAUAUUAGGAGGAAUACCAGUAGCGAACGCGACUUUCUGGACACAAACUGACGCUGAGGUACGAAAGCGUGGGGAGCAAACAGG